rnacentral:rRNA from 1 species
GCUAGUAAGAGUGUUUCUUCUGAUCCUAAUGAUAUGCCUUUGUCUACUUUGAUUGAGAAUAAUAAUGAAUCUAUGGAUGUGAAUUUUGUUGGUAGGAAUAAUUUUGGUAACAACGCGUAUAGAGGAAACUUUAAUCCUAGGCCUUAUCCUAGCAAUUCCUCUAAUAAUUAUGGUAAUUCCUACAACAAUUCUUAUGGAAAUUUUAAUAAGAUGCCCUCUGAAUUUGAGACUAUUGUUAAAGAGUCUAUGAAUUCUCAAAAGAAUUUCAAUGCUUUGCUUGAAGAGAAAUUGCUUAAAGUUGAUGAAUUGGCUAGGAACGUUGAUAGAAUUUCUCUUGAUGUUGAUUCUUUGAAACGUAGAUCUAUUCCUCCUAAGCAUGAUAUCAAUGAGUCUCUCAAAGCCAUGAGAAUUUCCAUUGAUGAGUGCAAAGAAAGAACCGCUAGGAUG